rnacentral:rRNA from 1 species
CCUACGGGAGGCAGCAGUGGGGAAUAUUGGGCAAUGGAGGAAACUCUGACCCAGCGACGCCGCGUGCGGGAUGAAGGCCUUCGGGUUGUAAACCGCUUUCAGUAGGGAAGAAGCGAAAGUGACGGUACCUACAAAAGAAGCACCGGCUAACUAUGUGCCAGCAGCCGCGGUAAUACAUAGGGUGCAAGCGUUGUCCGGAAUUAUUGGGCGUAAAGAGCUCGUAGGUCGUUUGUUACGUCGGAUGUGAAAACCUGAGGCUCAACCUCAGGCCUGCAUUCGAUACGGGCAAACUAGAGUUUGGUAGGGGAGACUGGAAUUCCUGGUGUAGCGGUGGAAUGCGCAGAUAUCAGGAGGAACACCAAUGGCGAAGGCAGGUCUCUGGGCCAAUACUGACACUGAGGAGCGAAAGUCUGGGGAGCGAACAGGAUUAGAUACCCUGGUAGUCCAGACCGUAAACGGUGGGCACUAGUUGUGGGAACCUUCCACGGUUUCUGCGACGCAGCUACGCAUAGUGCCCGCCGUCGGGAGGUACGAGUCGCGAGAAGUAAACGUAACGAAAGGAAGUAGUAACGGUCGUGUUAGACGUGCCGACGGACGACGACGAGGGAGGAGG